rnacentral:ncRNA from 1 species
CUGGCUUGUGGCCGCCCAGCGUUCCUCGCGCCGUUGCUUUUUGCAUCCUUCGCUGUCGGCUCUUCCUCUCCUUGUGCCGCCAGCCUUCCCCCGUGUUGGCUUGUUCCCCCCCCCCUAGGGCACCGUGAGCUGGGUUUAGACCCGUCGUGCGCCCGGUU